GGCUGUUUCUUUAAAACAUCUAUGCAAUAAUUAAUAAUUAUAUUAAACACUGUACAUGGUUACUACAUUACACAAACAUAAUUAUCACAGUUAACAAUUUAAGUCAUUGAUAGAGAAAAUGUAUUUACAAAAGGCAUAUCAAUUUUAUUUCAACAUUAUGUACUCAGGGUUUACAACUUAAGAAGACAUCCAUGUUGGGUCCUUGGCGGCUGCCAGUCUGCAGUGAACUGGUGGAUGACAGAGGCAAUGCUAUACUGUAGUGAGCAGAUUGAAGCAGAAGUCCCACCAUGUGAUCCACAGGGCUUUAGCUGAGCACAAACUUCAUGCACUUUGUUUCCACAGGCACCACAGCAGAAUCAAGUGUAACCUGUUAAUAUGUAUGUUAAAGGUAAGCUAAAGCUGAGCAUAUCUGGUCCAGGUGACGCACAGGUCUUAUGACGUAAAGUAUUUGAAUGUAGGAUUUCAUUUUUUUAGUCUUAAAGUUUAAUUAUGAUCCAAAUGAUGCAUUUCAAUUAAAAUAAGUCAUUAACAGAUUAUACAAAGGAAUUAUACACUAUAUAACUGGUUAAUAAUAGUUAUAUAAUGGAUAAAAAAUAACGUACUAUAUAUAGGCAUAAUUCUAUAUACUACACACAUCCUUCUUUUCAUUUAAAUAAAGACCCGGACUAAAAAUUAACUUUUCACCCCGCAUCGUGAUGCUCGUAAAUUAAGGAAGCAUAACCUAUCCUUAAUGGCUUUUCUUUUUUUUUGUUUUUGCUUUUGUUUUUUCUUAGAAGAACUUACCUGCGAUCCAACAAAAUGAUUAGGCCUACAUUCAAGGACUCUGUUCAGGCGGUCAUUGACGUCAAUCUGUGACGUGGGAUUCGGGGUUUGAGUUUAAAAUCCGAGGAUCACGUCACCAAUGACCAGCUGAGCCAAUCAGGUGCAGUUGACGCACAGGCCUUAUUACCAACAGUAUUUGAAUGUGUUCUUUCGUUUUUUCAUCUUGAAUUUUAAUUAUUUUCAAAGCGAAGCAUCUCAAUUAAAAUAAGUCAUUAAAAGCUUAUACAUUAAAUGAGUAUGUAGUUAUAUAUAUCAUAAACUAGUAGAAUAUUUUCUUUUUGUUUUUACAAAUAUUGACAAGGCAACAAAAAGACAAAGUGGCUAAAUUGUCACAGAUGACCUGCAUUCAAAGACCGUAAAUAAAUACUGUGAUUCAGAUUUAAAUAUCUAUUGCUAUAUAUCUACAUCAUAUUUCUAUUUCACAUGUCAUGUGACUAUUAAAGGUUUAGUCACAUGACUCAGAUUACCGUCAGUACAAACAAUAACCUGCUCUUACAGGCCCAGCCUUUCUCCACUGCCCCCUCUCUUCCCUAGGGGGCAGUAGAGAGCAACAUGAAGGCGCUGCUCGGAAGAAGAGCGAGAAAAGUGUCCGGUUGUUGUGGGGAGCGCAGCGUGUUAGUUUUAGGGAAGCCAGCUGUUCGUUGUACUUGUUCAAAAGAGGAAUAAAGUUGUUAAAGCAUUUAUCUGCCUCCUCCUUGCUUUUGCCCGCCAGCGGAGCAGAAACGAUAGGAGCUUGUUACCAGCGAACGAGCCGAAAUAGAGACCAGCCCGUUUAAAACCAGCCUCUGAUUGGACUCUGAGCCAAUCAGAGUCCACACAUCCUCCUUUUCAUACAGGUCUUUAAAGACCCGAAAUAAAAAUGAUCUUUUCAUCCCGCAUCGUGAUGCUCGACCUAAGGAUAACCUAUUUUUAAUGGCUUUUUUUCUUUUUUUUUCUUUUAAGUAUUUACUUGCAAGACAAAGAAAAUGAUUAGUGACCAAAUGAUCGCAGAAGGCCUACAUUCAAGGACUCUGUUCAGGCGGUCAGUGCCUUGUUGUUUCUCCCCAGGUAAAAUAAAUAAAAACGAUGAACUGAUUUGUUUUCUAUCACUAGAGUCAAGGGUUCCUUUUCAGGAUUUUGAAUUGGUCCAUAUUGGAUGUAAAAAUGAAUUAAUUAACAACUAAAUCUGAUCAGAGUUCAAAACCUGGAAUUUGGAUCAAAUUGAUGAAUGAAAGAUGAAACCAAAUCUGCCCUGGUUGUGAAUGGAUGAAAGGUUUUCUCUUGUUUAAAACCAGGAUCCUGGUUCCAAUGUAGGUUGGAACCAAAACAAAUGUGGACCUAAAAUGUUCUUUUCUCUCCCAUCAUCCACCAAAGACCAAGUUCUGAUCCAGAACCUGAGCCCAGUUGUUUGUCCCUGAGGAUCAACCAGGCAGCAGGAUGGAAAUCCCACCCAGACCUGAAGUCAGAUCCUCAGUUAGACUUUAACCAACAAGAGCAAAAUGUCAACCAAAAGCAGAAACAUUUGUGGAGCGAAAAACAGAAAGAGAAAAAUUAAACCGUAUUCUGACUUAAAACAAGUUUAACAACAAUCCUCUAAAAUACCAUUUUCUUGAUUGACAAAUACAUAAAAAUAUUGAACAUUUAUCAUAUUUAAAUGUAUUAAAUUUAAAAGACAUCUGCAUUGUUGUGUUUUUUUAAUAAAUUGUUCCUCCACAGAGUGAACCAGCAGAGCUCAGAGGUUCCCAACGGUCCGUCUGCACAGCAGCACCAAACACAGCUGGACUCCAUAUUUACGGAGCUGGAGCCAAACUUGGUCCUUUUUAUAAAGAACCAGCUGAAGAAGAUCCAGAAGGUUUUGAAUCCAUGUUACCCAGAAUGCUCAGAGUCAGAAGGAGGAUGAGGAGGUGGUUGAUGAUGAAGAGCAGAAGAGGAGGAGCAGCACAGAAGCUUUGCUGAAGAUCGUAGCUUUUCUUCCAGAGGAAGAUGAAUCAGGAGGAACUGGCCGAGCCUCUGCAGAGCAGGAAGAAAAGGAUUCAAAUCUCAAUUUUCAACCAAAUAACUGGAAAACAAUUAAAUAAAAUGGUUGAUGCAACACGUUUAGUAAAAACAAACUGCCUCAAUAUUUAUUAACUGAGACUUAAUGACUUUAUUGCAUUAAUGUCUUCCAGUCAUGAAUCUCAGCAGUUCAUGGAAAAGGUUCACCACAAAAUCAGUUCAAAAGCUCAGAUCAACUGAACAGGAAGUUUCUGUUGUUACUAAAUAAACCUAAAUUAUUUAGUAAACCUAAAUAAACAAAGUCAAAAUGAAAACUUAAAUAUAUUUUAAUUUCUUUGUUGAUCCUAAUACAAAAAGCUAGACAGCAUGAAGGAUUAAAAUAAAAGGUGCAGUUAUUAUAUUUGUACAAAGAGCAUUAUUAAAAUAUUUAUUAACCAAAUAACCCAUAUUAGGUUAGAAGAAAUAUAAAAACAUAAACCAAUCAGUACAUUAUCUCAGUGAUUCUCUGAGGUCUGAAUAAGUCAAUAUAAUCUCAGUAAAGAGCCUGAUGUGACGCAUCGAGUCCUAAAGUUCUUUAGAAAACUUAAAA